CUGGCAGACAGUGAAUAGCAGCCCCUGGGGAGUCAGGGAAGAGGGGGCAGUGAGCGGUAGCGGCAGGACUGAGAACACUCCAGUGGAUUAUUUCUCCAACCCUGGGCCCACUGGAGGUACAUGGCCUAACUUAUCAGUAUAUUUGAGAUGAAAAAUGUGGAGAGAAAUUUUUUUUUCAGAAGAGGAGCACACAAACUUGAAGCAAAUUUGCAAAGAUUUAUUCUGGUAUAGUAGGUAGUUUUGGGGUCAAAGUUAUAAACUGCCAGAAGUAGCCAUCCAAGGUACCAAUAGUUUGAAUAUAUUGCAGCUGAGCUGUGUAUAAGUCAACAAGUGAAACCAUCUGUCAGCAGAGGUGUACAGCUUAGUGUUUAACACCCCAGGUGUGUCCUAUUAGGUGUGAAGAGCCCCCUGAGCCUUGCACCCCGUGCGUGUGAUUCAGGAGCAAGGGUGUGUUUGUGGUUAGGCUGAGUUUUCCCAGUUUCGUCAUGAUAAAGCCAGCAGGUUUGAAUUUUGAGACACUACAAUUGUCAAGGAGGUCACAGCAGGAACAUCCCUUCUAUGCAUUCCAGGGUCCCCUGAACCAGCAUACGUGUGACUGGCAAAAUCCACAGCACUGCAUGGAAACACCACUACCAAGAAGCCCAUCAGGUUUGUUUUAGCAUUCAAACAGAAGCUGAAGAUCAGAGAGUCCAGGUGGCAGGUGUUUGCUUCUAACCUGCAGGGGAAGAAAAGAAAAAUGAGAAGAAUUUAAUUUCCCUGCAAAAAUUGAGAGCAGCUGCUGCUUACUCUUUGAGCCUCCUUGCUGAAUGACUCACUAUGGGGUUGUCAUGGGGAAAGAUGGAAAGAUGAAUCAGAGUAAAGCAGCCCCUUGAAGAAGCACUGUUUGUGCCCACAUGCGCCAUGCUUUGUCAUAGCCUUUCCAUUCUCGCUACUGUCCCCUGCAG
rnacentral:lncRNA from 1 species